rnacentral:lncRNA from 1 species
GCAAAGAAUACAGAAAAGUUUGGCAAUAUUAUUUUGGUGGUAUUUUCCUUCCCAAUUAAAUGUUUUGGUGCAUACUGAAAUACUGUCAGAUAUUUAUGAAAGAAUCUCAAAAUAACUUGCCUCAUGCUUUUUGUUUUGCAAGAGAAAGUAAAUCAAACUGAAAUAGGUGAUAUAAGUUUUGCGGUCACCACUAUAUAAAUAACUCAUAGCUAAGAGAGUGAUAGAGCAGAUUGUUAUCCUGAGAAAGCA